rnacentral:rRNA from 1 species
GUGAGGAAUAUUGGUCAAUGGGCGCAAGCCUGAACCAGCCAUGCCGCGUGCAGGAAGACGGUCCUAUGGAUUGUAAACUGCUUUUAUUUGGGAAUAAACUCCGGUACGUGUACCGGCCUGAAGGUACCAAAUGAAUAAGCACCGGCUAACUCCGUGCCAGCAGCCGCGGUAAUACGGAGGGUGCAAGCGUUAUCCGGAAUCAUUGGGUUUAAAGGGUCCGCAGGCGGUCUUAUAAGUCAGUGGUGAAAGCCUACAGCUCAACUGUAGAACUGCCAUUGAGACUGUAGGACUUGAAUUCGAUCGAAGUGGGCGGAAUGUGACAUGUAGCGGUGAAAUGCUUAGAUAUGACAUAGAACACCUAUUGCGAAGGCAGCUUACUACGCAUAUAUUGACGCUGAGGCACGAAAGCGUGGGGAUCAAACAGGAUUAGAUACCCUAGUAGUCC